UUGAAUUUCGGGGCUAGUAGGUUGGUCAUGCCUCUGGUAUGUACUGGGUCUCACUGUAAUUCCUCCUUCCUGAAUAGCCCGUAAAUGCCCAUUAACUUGGUGUUGCGGGAAUUUUGGACUGUUACUUUUGAAAAAUUAGAGUGUUUAAAGCAAGCCUAACGCUUGAAUACAUUAGCAUGGAAUAAUGAAAUAGGAACGUUCGAUCCUAUUUUGUUGGUUUCUAGGAUUGACGUAAUGAUUAAUAGGGAUAGUUGGGGGCAUUAGUAUUCAAUUCUCAGAGGUGAAAUUCUUGGAUUUAUUGAAGACUAACUACUGCGAAAGCAUUUGCCAAGGAUGUUUUCAUUAAUCAAGAACGAAAGUUAGGGGAUCGAAGACGAUCAGAUACCGUCGUAGUCUUAACCAUAAACUAUGCCGACUAGGGAUCGGAUGAUGUUAAUUUUUAAUGACUC
rnacentral:rRNA from 1 species